rnacentral:rRNA from 1 species
GUGUCAGCCGCCGCGGUAAUACAGAGGGUGCGAGCGUUGAUCGGAGUUACUGGGCGUAAAGGGCGCGUAGGCGGUUGUAUGAGUGUGGUGUGAAAGCCCCGGGCUUAACCUGGGAAGUGCACCGCAAACGAUAUAACUGGAGUAGAUGAGAGGGUGGUGGAAUUUCCGGUGUAGCGGUGAAAUGCGUAGAGAUCGGAAGGAACGUCAAUGGCGAAGGCAGCCACCUGGCAUCAUACUGACGCUGAGGCGCGAAAGCGUGGGGAGCGAACAGGAUUAGAUACCCUCGUAGUCC